rnacentral:lncRNA from 13 species
CUCAUGGGCCCUUCUGGUCAAAUGUAGUGCACUACUAGUGAAUAGGUUUUCAUUUAGUAUUCAGUUGUAUGUUAUAAAUGUUUGACUCAAACCUCUGUUGUCAGGGUCCUUUUGGCUAUCCUGGUGAGAAGGGAGAGAAUGGAAUUCUGGGGUAUCCAGGGGGACGGGGUCCUCCUGGUUUUAAUGGACCUCCCGGAUCUCCAGGAAGACCAGGAUUCACAGGCAGUCCAGGGUUCCCCGGGCAACCAGGCUACAGUGGACCUAAGGGUGACCAGGGGGAACAGGGGCCUCCCGGGCCCCCCAUCUACGCAGACACACAAGGGUUGGCUGUUCAAGGAGCACCAGGUGACAAUGGUAUCGACGGCUUCCCCGGCCAACCUGGUGACACUGGCUCUCCAGGGUUUCCAGGACAACCAGGACGACCAGGCGACUCCUUCGGCGAUGGUAACACGGAGAAACAUGCACUAUCUAGAUGCCUGCACACACACACAUGCAAACACACAAACAGGCACGCAGACACACACACACACACAUGCUUACAGGCAGACACACACACAUGCAUACAGGCACGCAAACAUACACAGACACACAAGCACACACAAACACCUCUGAUUUCCACAAGACACAAAACUAAUACCGGCGAGAUUAAGUCAAACCUUCUUCUGUUCCAUUUUGUACCCCGCCCUCUUUUCUCUCUUCUGUUGUCUUUUCUUCCAUCCCUACUCCUCUCCUGUCAUCUCCUCCCUCCUCCUCUCUUCUCUCCUCUCUCCUCUCUCCUCCCCUCUCUCCUCCUCUCUCCUCCUCUCCUGUCAUCUCCUCCCUCCUCCUCUCUUCUCUCCUCUCUCCUCCUCUCUCCUCUCCUCUCUCCUCCUCUCU